rnacentral:rRNA from 1 species
UACGUAGGGGGCAAGCGUUGUUCGGAAUUACUGGGCGUAAAGGGCGCGUAGGCGGCAUGGCAAGUCAGGAGUGAAAGGCCUGGGCUCAACCGAGGAACUGCUUUUGAUACUGCCAAGCUAGAGUGCGGAAGGGGCAACUGGAAUUCCCAGUGUAGCGGUGAAAUGCGUAGAUAUUGGGAAGAACACCUGAGGCGAAGGCGGGUUGCUGGGCCGACACUGACGCUGAGGCACGAAAGCGUGGGGAGCAAACAGGGAU